AAUUAAGCUCAAGAGCCUAGAGGAUCAAGUUGGAUAAGGGAAGGAAGAAGUGAUCGAAUAGCCGCCGAAAUCGUUCGACCACAUCCGAGAUCUCAUUGGAAGCUACAGGCUCGGGGAUCGUCAGCAAAUAGUCACACUAUCACUACCCACCGUUUGGUACUGCUACGUUUUGGAAUAUCUUAUGGCAUGUAUGGAAUAGACUAGUAGUGAGAGGAUAUUUUGGUCAAUGUAUAGGACUACCCCUUUUGUUGUGGGUCAUGGACCCUUUGGAUUUGUAUAAUUUUGGAUAGCCAUGCGAAAAUGGCUUAUAAAUGUUUUGAGCAUAAUGUUAUAAUCAUUCGAUAUGUAUAUGCUCAUUAAGAGGCAUGGAAAUGUUUGGCAACGAUCAGCCAUUAGAAUGGUUCAUCUUGAUUAUAUUUUGGACUAUAUAUAUGCAAGAGGGUUAGUUGAGUCCUAGAAA